UGCCAGAUAGCUCAGUUGGUAGAGCACCUGACUAAAGAUUCAGGGAGCCCAGGUUCAAAUCCCGGUCUGGUCC
rnacentral:tRNA from 1 species